rnacentral:lncRNA from 1 species
GCAAAUCGAGGAAGGACGGCGGCGACUGAAGCGGUCCUGGCGGACGCGGGGCGACGCGUGGAGGAGCUCCAGCCGUCCUGGCAGGCGCGGGGCGACGCGUGCACUGGAUCGGAUCUGGCAGGCGCGGGGCGACGUUGCAGAUCGGUCCGCUGGCGUGCACUGGAUCGGAGCUGGCGUGCGCGGGCGACUGGAAGGAGUUUGAUCUCGAUGGAGCCGCGCCAAGACCUGCCAGAUGCGAUCUGGCGAGAGAAGAUGGAGCCGCCUCGACCCGGGAUUGAAGCGACGCGUCGGGAGAUUGUAGAGACGCGGCUGGAGCUCCUCCACGUGCGGGACGAGGCAGGCGAGACGAGGGCCGGUACCAGCGGUGGGAAAGCUAGAUCGGAAAAAGCACGAGUUGCGCGUGCAAAAAGAACCUAGGCUCUAAUACCAUGUUAGGAAAGCAACUUGUAUUCCCAUGAGGCCAUAGGCCAAUAUAUAUACAUGUACAGGUGAUGGACUAUAUGCAGGAAAACCCCUUAUAUAUUGGGAUAAAUACAAAAGGGUACAUGACUUGN